GAUGAACGCUAGCGGCAGGCUUAACACAUGCAAGUCGAGGGGUAACAGGGUAGCUUGCUAUUGCUGACGACCGGCGCACGGGUGCGUAACGCGUAUACAAUCUACCUUAUACUGGGGUAUAGCCUUUAGAAAUGAAGAUUAACCCCCCAUAGUCUCUUUAUGUGGCAUCACUUAAAGAGUAAAGGUUACGGUAUAAGAUGAGUAUGCGUUCUAUUAGUUUGUUGGUAAGGUAACGGCUUACCAAGACUACGAUAGAUAGGGGCCCUGAGAGGGGGAUCCCCCACACUGGUACUGAGACACGGACCAGACUCCUACGGGAGGCAGCAGUGAGGAAUAUUGGACAAUGGAGGCAACUCUGAUCCAGCCAUGCCGCGUGUAGGAUGACUGCCCUAUGGGUUGUAAACUACUUUUAUACAGGAAGAAACACCUCUACGUGUAGAGGCUUGACGGUACUGUAAGAAUAAGGAUCGGCUAACUCCGUGCCAGCAGCCGCGGUAAUACGGAGGAUCCAAGCGUUAUCCGGAAUCAUUGGGUUUAAAGGGUCCGUAGGUGGAUAAUUAAGUCAGAGGUGAAAUCUUGCAGCUCAACUGUAAAAUUGCCUUUGAUACUGGUUAUCUUGAGUUAUUAUGAAGUAGUUAGAAUAUGUAGUGUAGCGGUGAAAUGCAUAGAUAUUACAUAGAAUACCAAUUGCGAAGGCAGAUUACUAAUAAUCAACUGACA
rnacentral:rRNA from 1 species